AAAUUGAAGAGUUUGAUCAUGGCUCAGAUUGAACGCUGGCGGCAGGCCUAACACAUGCAAGUCGAACGGUAACAGGAAGAAGCUUGCUUCUUUGCUGACGAGUGGCGGACGGGUGAGUAAUGUCUGGGAAACUGCCUGAUGGAGGGGGAUAACUACUGGAAACGGUAGCUAAUACCGCAUAACGUCGCAAGACCAAAGAGGGGGACCUUCGGGCCUCUUGCCAUCGGAUGUGCCCAGAUGGGAUUAGCUUGUUGGUGGGGUAACGGCUCACCAAGGCGACGAUCCCUAGCUGGUCUGAGAGGAUGACCAGCCACACUGGAACUGAGACACGGUCCAGACUCCUACGGGAGGCAGCAGUGGGGAAUAUUGCACAAUGGGCGCAAGCCUGAUGCAGCCAUGCCGCGUGUAUGAAGAAGGCCUUCGGGUUGUAAAGUACUUUCAGCGGGGAGGAAGGGAGUAAAGU
rnacentral:rRNA from 1 species